AUGUGCAACUGCAGGGACGCUGCCGCAGGUACACCUGUGGUCAUCUCUGCUGGGGGAAGAUGGGGGCUAGCAAAACUCGAAUGUGGAAGAGCAGAGUGCUUCAAUGGGUGGAGGAGGUCAACUGUUACGAGCAGUGGAAGCAAUGACCAGGCCAUAUUUCUGUCACAAGAACCAGUCAAGUGUCAUCUUAUGUCAUUUGUUGAUAGUGUAACAUACCACGUGGCAGUGCUGACCUGGGUAAUAUUUCACUGAGUUGUGUAUCUUCUUUUCUGGAGCUCACUCUGUAAAAUAGGUAUCCCACUAAAGGAACCUGCUCUGAAGAGUUCCUUCACUGUGCAGUCUUUCAGGACCAA
rnacentral:lncRNA from 1 species